CAAAAAUCCAUUUGAAUCUCCCAUGAUUUCAUCGUCUCCCCAACGGUCGGGAAGACCCAAAAUUCUGGCCAUUAAAAAACCCUCUGUCCCCAUUUUUAAAAUUGAAGCCAUAAACACCCAUAUACCCCUCUUGCUCCAAGUUUUGGCACCUGAACACCCAUUCACCCCGCUUGCUCUGAGUGUUGGCACCUGCGUAUUGUGAGAGAGAGCGACUGCUUCUAAAAGAAAUUUGAUAAUGUUUUUGAUUGAAGAUCACACACCCCAACGUUAUCAACAGAGGAAGUUGGGUUCCAUGGGUUCACACACUCCAACGUCAUCAGCAGAGGAAGUUGGGUGUGUUUCUGCCUACACCUCGUUCAGAGAAGAGAAGAACAUUGGGGACUCUUGGGUUAAUGUGCAGGUUGUGUUAAGAUGCAGGUGAUGAUAGAAGAAAUUUGACGACUUUAUGCAGGGUGAAGGAUAUUCUAGAUGCGAAAUUGAUCAUGGUGUGUAUUUUAAGGGAUCAACAUGUUAUUUCUUGAAUAUUUUGUUGUUUUAUGUUGAUGAUAUGCUUAUUGCUAGCAGUAAUCUGAAAGAAGUCAAGCGUUUGAAGCUUGAUACAUCCAAGCAUUUGCUGCCAAGGAUCUUGAGCCAACUAAGAAGAUAUUGGGCAUGCACAAUCACAGAGAUAGAAAACAUGGUACUUGGUUAAGUCAAUCUAAAUAUAUUUCUAAAGUUCUAGAGUGCUUUUAAUAUGAUUGACUGUAAAUCAUUAGCUGCAAAGUUUAAGCUGUCAAAAAACUGCUCUCCAAUGAGUGAAGUAGAUAAUGACAAGAUGAAGAAUGCUUCACAUACUUUUGCAGUGGGUAGUUUCAUGUAUGCAAUGGUUUGUACUAGACCUUAUAUUGCCCACGCAGUGGAAGUUGUUUCUAGAUAUAUAUCUAAUCCAAGUUGGGAAGAUUGACAAGCAGUGAAGUGGAUCAUUCGGUAUUUGAAUGGAACAAGAAAUGUAUGUAUGUGCUUGGGAAAUUCACCUUUUGAAAGUUGUUGGUUUUGUAAAUGCAGAUUAUGCAUGGUGCUCUGACAUUAGAAUGUCCACUAUUGGCUACAUUUCAAGUUGCUGGUAGGGCAGUCAAUUGGAUGUCAAGGUUACAGGAUAUUGUUUCCUUGUCAUCAACUGUAGCUGAGUAUGUUGGAUUGUCGAAGGCAACAAAAGAAAUGAUUUGGUUGAGGAGGUUUGACCAGUUUGGAAUGAGACAAGAACAAUAUGUUGUUUAUUUUGAUAAUCAGAGUGCAAUUAAUCUGGUUAAGAAUGUACCACAACACUCCAAGGAAAAGCAUAUGAAGUUCAUUACCACUUCAUCCAAUAAGCCUUAGAAUGUGGAGAGUUGCAAGUGGAAAAAUCCACAUUGAGAAGAAUGUAGAUGAUAUGUAGGCAAAAGUUGUUUCAACAUAUAAGAAUAAGAUGUUUAGCAAGAUUUAAGGGUUGGAGGAGACAUAACAUCGAGGGGAUGGAGAAUAAUGCAUUUGUGGUUAUUACAAAGGCUCGGUGAUUUGUCUUCAAGUGGGAGAUUGUUAUAUAUGUGAAUUCAAAUCACACAUGGUUUUGUUUGCUUCAUUCACUUAUGCUUCUUUCUAACACGUCUCUCUUACUUUCUAGGCCUGUGGAUUGCAUCUAAUUGUGUUUUUGAAGUUCCCAUGUAAAAGGGACUUGUUAUUUUGCUUUUAGAGUGAGAAAGUAGGAAAAGAAGAGAGCUCUCAUGGUGGGUUUUCAGACCAUGUUUCAUGCCCUAACUGUUAGAGAGAGAAAGUGAGGGUUUUUGGGUGUUGCAGGGCCUAUUCUAGCGAGAGAAAGUGUCAAAGGAGUACUCCAUUUGGGUGUAUUUGGUGCUCAGUUUAAAGAUAGAAAGCUGCUAUAAUUUGGAGCUUUUGAGUCUUGUUUUCUCUUGUAAUCUCUUUGAAUAAAUAAGUGAAGCCUCGCACUUGCACUAUUCUUCUGUGGAUAUAGGUUAGAAUUUGUUGUUGAACCACGUUAAAUCUUAUGAAUUUUGAUGGUUCAUUGCUUUCCCUUGUUUUCUUAUAUUAUUUUCUUGAUUGUACCACAUUGUUUCCAUGGUAAGUUGUGUAGCUUGGAUGCACAAACUGUUUAUGCUUCACACCCCCUGGCUGAUUUUUCCAUC